UUUUGCUUUUUUUUUUUUUAAUUAUUUACAAGAUACAACAAUAUCAUCGUAAAUAAAUAUAAUAUUUUAAUAGUAAUAAGCGGUAGAGGGUUAAAAUCACAAUAAUUAUACAUACGCAAUCAAUAACACGGAAUCAAUAUUUCGCAUUUGUUAUUUCGCGGAGAUAAAUUUCAUACCGCAUCAAUAUACAAUAUUCUUUUGACAAAAUUUACUUCUUUAUGAAAUUGUCUUACCUGCAAUCCAGUUUCCACUAUCAAUCACGACUUUCAUCGUAUAACGCACUAAUAACUUCAUUUUUAAUGUUUUUUUUUUUUUUUUAAAUAAUCGAAUUCGCAACUUCAGUUGUAAAACUGAUUGCUAGAUCAUUAAUUCUAAUUUAUUUUCGAUCAGAAUCUCAUCACCAUCUCUUAUUCGUAUUAUCUACUAUCGAAAAAACUAACUUCGAGUAUCUACGCAUAAGAGCACAUCGACGAACUGUCAGGACGGUCAAUCAUCACACGAAAAAGGAUCUUUCGAUAUUCGCGUACCGCGACUCUCGGGAACGGGUACGUAUUUUUCGCUGGAGCGGAUUUGAUAUAGAUGAUUUCCGAUUUCAAAGAUAGAUUUGACAGAAAUAUAUCAAAAAAUAUUAUUUACUUUAAGUAAAAUUUUAAACAUUAUUAUAUAUUUACAUGGAAUAUCAUAAAUUUGAAACAAGGAAAAAAAAAUACAAAUACAAAUGUAUUACGCUUAUGCAAUUUGAAUGAUCGAAGAAUAAUCGAAUCAAUCUCAUAAUAUCAUCUAAAAUCAAUAUCUGCCCCGCGAGCAAUCGACAAAACCGAGAAUACAUAAGAUAUACGUACUCAAGCCUGCAAAGGCUGGCAUCUUAAGAACAAAAAAAUUCGCGACACUUAAGAGCUACUAUAGACAAUGGUACAAAAAUUCAAUGCUGCCUACGACAUUAGUAUACCUUAGACGACGUUUUUAUUUAAAUCAUUAUUAUUAUAACCAUCAUCACCAUCAUCAUCACCAUCUUAACCUUUUCUCUCGUCUCCUCUUUGUUAUCUGUCAUAAUAAAGGGGCGACGAGGACGAGCGCGAAAAUUACAACUUUCUUCUUCCACCUGGCGAGGUGAGGCUCCAGUUGUUGUAACAAAAAAGAAUACAGUAAACGGGCAAGCUUUAAUUGUAGCCUCGAGGUGAGCCCUAUCUUUAGCCUUUUCUUUUUAUGUUUCGUUACGAGUAGCCUCGCGAGGCACGGGAAGAAGAAAGGGAAGAAACGGUACAAGAAGAUUGUUCCCGGUCGUCCCUUUUUUAUCUUAAGAUGCGUCAUUCGACCAACGCCUUAUCACGUCAGUCCAACGAACAACUUUUUUUUUACUUUUCGCGUAUGUCUCUUUUUUUUUUUUUUUACUUACCCUUUCACACUUUUUCUCUAUUUUUCUUUCGCACUCUCUCUCUUUCUCUCCCUUUCUUUCAUUUUCUUUCGUUCCUUCUUCGAGUGUCGCAUGUACAAGCAUACAUUCUUUUUUUCUCUCUUCCCUUCAAUAUCAUUCGUCUGUUCGCACACAUAGAGUUUCACACGCGUGUAGUUUCAUGCACACACAAUCACUGAUUGCCGCGAAAAAUUCACGUAUACGCGUGUACGUCCAUACCUGGUUACAUUAUAUCAGACAAUAUAAUCCUUCAUUUAUAUCCGUUCUUACGCUAGGCGUUAAUUAGUGUUACAUCUAAUCGCGUGUGGCCGGCCCGUGCUAUCCAGAAACGCACUGAACAUAGCUGCGUUCCUUUUUGUUGCUCGAUGCACCGAUGUGCCAGAAAUACGCGACGGUGCUGCCUUUUACUUGUCUUCUAAUCUUUUCCCGCACUUUUAAUUUUUUCAUUUUUUUUCACUUUAUUUUCUUCUUGUCGUGUUUAUUCUUGCAAACGUCUUCACAUAACGAGAAUCUCUCGAGAACGUUCUUGCAAUAGAUUCGAUUGAAUUCAAGAAAAAUGUAAUUAAAUAUGUACGUUAUUUAUCGAUUAAAGGAAUGUACAGAAGUUUGCAAUAGAUUGACUAAUGAUCGAUUAAAAUUUGAACGAAUCAAACGACACGAAUAUUCUCGAUUUCAAACUCUCGAAACCAGCUGUUGUCUGGUCUGAACACAAUCUCGAGCCGGUUAGCACGGGCGGCCAGACCCAUUCGAAUGCGUUUACGAUCCGAAAAAUUACACAGUAACGUUAUUUAUUUUUUUCUUGUUUGUUUCUUUAGUGUAACACGUACGGCAUAUCGUUAAUUAACGUUACGUUAUUUAUAUACUAUAUAUUUACAAUCACAUGAAUCGUAGAUAUUCUAAUGUAUCGUUCGCCUCGUUCGACUAAUUUUCUUUCUCAGUUCCAUUUUCCCCUCCCCAAUCUUUUCACCUAACCUCUAUUUUUCUUCCAAUUUUUCCAUAGUUGUUAUUCACAAUUAUUUACCAUUAUAUUCUCACGUCUAUAUUUCAUUAAAUACUUUUCUCUCUUAAUUUUUUACCCCAUGUUAUACCUUCUCGUUAUUUUCACCAUGUUAUUUAUUGCGCCGCUUUUUCUUUCAUUCGAACUGAAACUUGUUCAAUAUUUUAACACCAUUGUGCAACGUAUUCGCGCGCGUACACACAUAUACAUAUAUAUAUUUAUCUGUUCGUUUGUAUAUAUAUAUAUAUUUAUAUAUAUAUUUAUAUAUAAUAUAAAAAACAGUAUCUUCUAUCGCUUGCGAGAAGAAAGCAAAACAGGAUGCCUUAGGCAAUCCAAAAAGCUGUUCGUCCGUACGUUUAUACAGCCGAACAUGCAGAAUGAGAAAACAGUUUGGGUCUUUCAAAAUUGAUUAUGAUCUUUUUUUGAACUUGUUCCAAUCGAUUAUUGUUCUAUCGUCUAUGUAUCGUUUUAUCUCUCGUCGUAUCAUCGUGUGAUUGCUGAUGAAAUAUGAAAAAUGUCACAAUCCAGCUCCCGUUUCUGAUUAUCGUUCCGGCGCGAAGUAAGAUGGAUUCUUCGAGUAGAGGACCAUGAGGAUCACAAGGGCGAGGACGAACAGGCGGCUACCAUGACUCGAAUAAAGCGUCACGACGCCUGCCAGCCACCAUAACGUCGGACAACCACCCGGUGCCGAGCUGAUCCCUCUUUGAAUCGCUGCAGGAUGCUCCCCUAUACCGUUUCCCAUAUCUGUAAUCUGUAAUCGUGAAAACUCCGUGGAAGUUUUUUUCAGAUAGAAAAGUCGAUACGGCUGUUUUAAGAGAUCCGUUUUCGUUGCGUUUAGACUUCUAAUUGGAUUUGAACCAAGAACUUGACGAAGGAUUGACCCGAAACUGUGUUGAAUUAUCGGAAUGCGAAAAUAGGACUCACCAUUUAACACGUGAAGCUGCACGCUCGCGCUGUCCAAACUGCUCGGACUGCAAGUGUAAUUUCCCGAAUCUUCCCGCCUCGCUUUAUGGAUCAGGAGACUGCUGAUUGUGUCGUGAU